rfam:Asian citrus Psyllid, Diaphorina citri - Florida Strain, whole genome shotgun sequence.
ACCAGCAACGAUAGCACUUUGAAUGCACCAGUUCCCAAUAGAUCACUGUUGUUAAACAAUGUUGCGCGCGGUUAAUAUCUGGAUGGGUGACUAUCUGCGUAAUUGCAUGUAGCUGGCU